AAGUCGUAACAAGGUUUCCGUAGGUGAACCUGCGGAAGGAUCAUUAACAUAAUAUUCUUACACACUGUUUUUUUACAACAAAACAAACAUAUCUAAUCUAUAAAUCUACGUUUUAAAAUUCUUAAAACUUUCAACAACGGAUCUCUUGGUUCUC
rnacentral:misc_RNA from 1 species